GACGAACCGUGCGAACGUUGUUCGGAAUCACUGGGCUUAAAGGGCGCGUAGGCGGGCCUCCCAGUCCGUGGUGAAAGCCCCCGGCUCAACCGGGGAAGUGCUGCGGAUACUGGAGGCCUCGAGGGGUGUAGGGGCAUGCGGAACUUCCGGUGGAGCGGUGAAAUGACGUAGAUAUCGGAAGGAACGCCGGUGGCGAAAGCGGCGAUGCGUGGACACCUACUGACGCUGAGGCGCGAAAGCCAGGGGAGCAAAGCGGGAUUAAGAUGACCCUAGUACGUCAGACC
rnacentral:rRNA from 1 species